rnacentral:rRNA from 1 species
AACGAACGCUGGCGGCAGGCCUAACACAUGCAAGUCGAGCGAGGACUUCGGUCCUAGCGGCGGACGGGUGAGUAACGCGUGGGAACGUGCCCUUUGCUUCGGAAUAGCCCUGGGAAACUGGGAGUAAUACCGGAUGAGCCCUUUGGGGGAAAGAUUUAUCGGCGAAGGAUCGGCCCGCGUUGGAUUAGGUAGUUGGUGGGGUAAUGGCCUACCAAGCCGACGAUCCAUAGCUGGUUUGAGAAGAUGAUCAGCCACACUGGGACUGAGACACGGCCCAGACUCCUACGGGAGGCAGCAGUGGGGAAUCUUAGACAAUGGGGGAAACCCUGAUCUAGCCAUGCCGCGUGAGCGAUGAAGGCCUUAGGGUGGUAAAGCUCUUUCAGCGGGGAAGAUAAUGACGGUACCAGCAGAAGAAGCCCCGGCUAACUCCGU